ACAUGUGCAGCAAGAUGAGCAACUCCACAAGCUUUUGGGGAGCCGAAGACAAAGCAAAGCUCUAAUCCUACAGGAAAAAACUUCCUUUAUCAAAUUCACCAGGCCUGACACCUUGCUAAGACUGUACAGGCAUCACGUCAGCACACUCCUAUAGUACAGGGAGAAAACUCUCCCCAGGAAAAGAUAGUGCCUAAUUCUAAUUCCUUUGGAGUCUGCUUCUGGAAGGAGAGCCUUUUCCAACUUACAUCAUCUGGAAGCAAGCACCCGGGUAGUCUUACCGUGAGAGUCUGAUCUUGUGUUGCAAUGAUGGACAACUCUCAAAGUCUGCUGCAGGCCUCUAGAAAAUAAGAAGAGUUUUUCCUGUGACUUAAGUGAUGGCUUUGCUGGCUGACCUGCUGGCUGACUGUGCAGUUAGCAAAUAAGGUAACCUAUAUUAAUGUUUUCAGCUUCCACUAAGAUUUUGAAAAUUGUAGGGCUUCUUAUAAAUAGAUACUGUAAGAAGUAGGUGACAAUAAACAUUUUGUAUUUCCUGUUCCUUAGAUUAAUUUCUUUUUUCUUUAACUAAAAGCAACACUGUGUACUUCAGCAAUGUCUGGACUGAUAUGAGAAGAAAAACUCUUACUUUUUUUUUUUUGAGUUCAUAGAAAGUGGGACAUUUGGAUUUUUUCUUUACUGUAUUAUUUAAAGACUGACUCCACAUCUGCG